GCCUACGGGGGCAGCAGUGAGGAAUAUUGGUCAAUGGGAGAGAUCCUGAACCAGCCAAGCCGCGUGAGGGAAGACGGCCCUAUGGGUUGUAAACCUCUUUUGUCGGAGAACAAAACCCGGGACGUGUCCCGGACUGCGUGUAUCCGAAGAAAAAGCAUCGGCUAACUCCGUGCCAGCAGCCGCGGUAAUACGGAGGAUGCGAGCGUUAUCCGGAUUUAUUGGGUUUAAAGGGUGCAUAGGCGGUCCGUUAAGUCAGCGGUAAAAUUGCGGGGCUCAACCCCGCCCAGCCGUCGGAACUGCCGGGC
rnacentral:rRNA from 1 species